GCCGGGAUGGCGGAAUUGGUAGACGCGCACGAUUCAGGGUCGUGUGCCCGCGAGGGUGUGCAGGUUCAAGUCCUGUUCCCGGCA
rnacentral:tRNA from 1 species